AGGCAUGGGCGCAGCCUGAUCCAGCCAUGCCGCGUGUGUGAAGAAGGCUUUCGGGUUGUAAAGCACUUUCAGUGAGGAAGAACGCCUUGGGGCUAAUACCCCCGAGGAAGGACAUCACUCACAGAAGAAGCACCGGCUAACUCCGUGCCAGCAGCCGCGGUAAUACGGAGGGUGCGAGCGUUAAUCGGAAUUACUGGGCGUAAAGCGCGCGUAGGCGGCGUGAUAAGCCGGUUGUGAAAGCCCCGGGCUCAACCUGGGAACGGCAUCCGGAACUGUCAGGCUAGAGUGCAGGAGAGGAAGGUAGAAUUCCCGGUGUAGCGGUGAAAUGCGUAGAGAUCGGGAGGAAUACCAGUGGCGAAGGCGGCCUUCUGGACUGACACUGACGCUGAGGUGCGAAAGCGUGGGUAGCAAACAGGAUUAGAUACCCUGGUAGUCCACGCCGUAAACGAUGUCGACUAGCCGUUGGGGUCCUAGAGACCUUUGUGGCGCAGUUAACGCGAUAAGUCGACCGCCUGGGGAGUACGGCCGCAAGGUUAAAACUCAAAUGAAUUGACGGGGGCCCGCACAAGCGGUGGAGCAUGUGGUUUAAUUCGAUGCAACGCGAAGAACCUUACCUACCCUUGACAUCCUCGGAAGCCUGCAGAGAUGCGGGUGUGCCUUCGGGAGCCGAGUGACAGGUGCUGCAUGGCUGUCGUCAGCUCGUGUUGUGAAAUGUUGGGUUAAGUCCCGUAACGAGCGCAACCCUUGUCCCUAUUUGCCAGCGAUUCGGUCGGGAACUCUAGGGAGACUGCCGGUGACAAACCGGAGGAAGGUGGGGACGACGUCAAGUCAUCAUGCCCCUUA
rnacentral:rRNA from 1 species